rnacentral:tRNA from 6 species
GCGGAUGUAGCUCAAUGGUAGAGCCUCUGCCUUCCAAGCAGAUGGUGCGGGUUCGAUUCCCGUCAUCCGCUCCA